GGCAGUGGGGUUGAUAUCUUAUCAUCACCAUCAAGGUGGAUCAGGCUGGCUAAGUGAGUGUCCCCUUCCUCUCUCCAUCACUCCAUGUGAAUGCCCUCUGAGGCUAUGUGCAUGGUCAAAGAGGAUAAUCCUCUCAGGUAGGAGAGAGCUGGUCUUCAGUCUAGAGUGUAACAAGUAGCUGCACACCCCUGCUGGAAUGUUCAUAUAAGGUCUCAACCGUUGUCCUUACCUGUUCCCUCCACCAGCUGACUUAUUACUUCUUCAUAUCUCCAAUGUAUUUAAUCCUUUCCCUGAACCCUUGAUGUAGGUGUAAUUG
ensembl:misc_RNA 7SK 7SK RNA